rnacentral:rRNA from 1 species
UAGGGGAUCUUGGACAAUGGGCGAAAGCCUGAUCCAGCGACGCCGCGUGGGGGACGAAGGCCUUCGGGUUGUAAACCCCUGUUGUUGGGAAAGAAGCCGGGCUUCGCCCGGUGACGGUACCCAACGAGGAAGCCCCGGCUAACUACGUGCCAGCAGCCGCGGUAAGACGUAGGGGGCGAGCGUUAUCCGGAUUCACUGGGCGUAAAGGGCGCGCAGGCGGUUACGUAAGUCCGGCGUGAAAUCCCACGGCUUAACUGUGGAACUGCGUCGGAUACUGCGUUGACUUGAGGAUGGUAGAGGCCAUUAGAACUAGCGGUGUAGCGGUGAAAUGCGCAGAUAUCGCUAGGAAUGCCGGUGGCGAAGGCGGAUGGCUGGGCCACUCCUGACGCUGAGGCGCGAAAGCUAGGGGAGCGAACCGG